rnacentral:pre_miRNA from 1 species
UUAUCUAGGGCCUGAGCUGAAGCUCAUUGAAGUCAAUGGGAGUCUGUCUAUUGACUUCAGUGGGAUUAGGAUCAAGCCCCUGGUUAG